GACGAACGCUGGCGGCGUGCUUAACACAUGCAAGUCGAACGGAAGGGCCCUGCUUGCAGGGUACUCGAGUGGCGAACGGGUGAGUAACACGUGGGUGAUCUGCCCUGCACUUCGGGAUAAGCCUGGGAAACUGGGUCUAAUACCGGAUAGGAGCCCUUUUUAGUGUGAUGGUUGGAAAGUUUUUUCGGUGUAGGAUGAGCUCGCGGCCUAUCAGCUUGUUGGUGGGGUAAUGGCCUACCAAGGCGGCGACGGGUAGCCGGCCUGGGAGGGUGGACGGCCAAAUUGGGGCUGGGAUACGGCCCAGACUCCUACGGGAGGCAGCAGUGGGGGAUAUUGCACAAUGGGGGCGAGGCUGAUGCAGCGACGCCGCGUGGGGGAUGACGGCCUUCGGGUUGUAAACUCCUUUCGCUAGGGACGGAGCUUUUUGUGACGGUACCUAGAUAAGAAGCACCGGCUAACUACGUG
rnacentral:rRNA from 1 species